UCAGUACGCCCUGCGUAGGGCAUAGUGAAAACACCUAGUUGCCUGCUAUUACUAAUGGUGACUUCUCAGUUUCAGUAUUCAGAGGAUGACCUGCCCUUGACUGUGUAGUCUGUUCCACAGGAAACCACCUCUCUAACUGCUGCUUUCUGCUUUCUCUUCAGCCAACACCCAAAGCCGCUAUCAGAUGUCAUGGAGAUGAAACUUCACAAGGUAUUCUUUCAAGCAUGGAAAAAUUAAACCUCAGAGCAAAAGACUACAGUCUCUGAUAAAAAGCUGAGAUAAGUAUGAAAUUCAAAAUGGGAAGGACAGAACGAAAAUACUGAAAUAAGCUGGUUAAGAGACAGUUGUUGCCCACUCAAAAAAUGGGAUAAUCGGACUAACAGAUGACGUCACUGGACUCCCACAUGGCUGACGGUGGUUUGAGUCACGGACCUGGUGGCUUGAAAAACACGCUGGAUAUGUGCGUGCAUGUGCCCAAGAUCCCAAGAGGAGAAUGGAGGAGAAGGGAU